UGUUUAUUUUAAUACAAGAAAUAUUUAUUGUUAAACAAGUUCUAAUUUUCAGUUCAGUCUGGACGUGGGACAUCUUUUUUUACCAUCUUUAUUGUUUUUUUAACAUGUUGUCUUUUGUUAUGUGUUAUUAGCUAUGGUUAUUAGUCAUGUUCGACUUCAUGCAGCGCUGCGAGAACAGACAUCAUACGUUGAUGACGUCAAUGUAUCGCGAGAGCGAGUCAAGAAAUUACACUCUCGCGGUACAUUGACGUUAUCAACCUGUCAGCGCAGCAAGAAGUCGAGCACACGUAUUUGCGGGCGCGCGCCUCCGUCCUCGUGAGUUCAAAGUGGAUUUUAACCGUUUACCUCCGACGACAGUUUUCAUUUCUAUGGCAAAUUCUAAGGUCAUUUUCUUGUUGUGUUUUGAUGUUUUCCAUUGGCUGAAGACUAAGAUGAGCCUGAAGAGGAGAUUUGGGAAGUCUUUGCUUUGCCAGAUCACCUGUGGUCGAGAUGUUUUCUAACAAGAUGCCUUGUUGGUCUGGGCGAGUUUGAAGUCUUUCACAGACAGUGCAGAAGGUCUGGAGUCCAUCUUAGCUUUUAUUGGUAAGUGACUGCACAAAAGGCUGUUUGACCCACACGUAAAGCAACCAGUCAAUGUUUGCUCUCUUCAGCAUCUCUUGGGGGGGUUAAAUUAUUUUACUUUACUCAGUACUUAGUUGAAGCACCUUUUGAAGUAGCAGUUACAGCCUCAGGUCUUUUUGGGUAUGACACAGCAAUCUUUGCAACUCCUGGAUUGAUUUGUAACCAAAGCGAUCAGAAGCACCAUUCACUUCUAUAGUAUUCUUUUAGCCUACUAUGGAAGUCAAUGGUGCUUCCGGUCAGUUUGGUUACAGACAUUCCUCAAAAUAUCUUCAUAUGUUUAUGCGAACCCAUCAGCAACCAUCAAGAGAAAUUGGAGGUAGCUGAGCUAAAUUGCAGAUAUUGAUGCAAA